rnacentral:lncRNA from 1 species
GUCCCGUGUGCUCUCAAGAACAUGAGCAUGGAAAUAGGCAAGAGAGGGAGGCAUGCCCAACAAUUAUGAUUUCAAUCAGGAGUACAAACAGAAGAAACAACCACCCCAGUUUCUCCCUCGGGACCUUGGAGAACAGCACCUACCUGGAGCACCUCUUCAUGAGGCACCCAUGAAGGAAGGAACCCAGCUCCCUCACAUCCUAGAGAGGCAGUCACCUGAGAAAUAGCAUGAAACAGGAAAUUAUUAUAGAAGUGAGCCCACACUGGAACACAAAAGCCAAAAAUUUGAUUCUCUGAUGCCUGUAUUUUGUGAAAUCCCUACCCAAUACAAUCAUGCCACUGAAUGAGCAGAGGAUAAAAUUUAUGAGAGACUACAUCUUCAACAACUGUGAACAUUUUCAUAAAUUUCUCUAAGUUAGGAUUCUGAUAUCUGAAAAAGGAAGUAUCUUUUUGAUAAAAUUUAAUGGCUGUACUAUCAAAGCAGUAUUAGAUACUACAGAGUUUUUUUUUUUUUUCUUUUUUUAGCUGAUUUGCUUUUCAAAAAAGGAAAAACCCAACAAUGACACCUGAAGCCAUGACUGAUGACAAAGCUAUAAUGGCCACAGACGACUGCUUAUAAGACCUGUUGGUGGGGGCAGGGUUCAUAUGCAUAGCUUUGUACUUAUAAAAAUCAAUCAGUUGAGAAAUCACAUAUAAAGGAUGUUUAGGUAAAAUAAAGAGAUGAUAAUACACAUUUAUUGGGAAAAAAAAAGCGCUCUUAUGUAUUGCCAGUACCCAGAGGAGUUCAUGGCAUAAAUAGAAUGACAGGUACUUUGGUGAGCACUCUUUGUAUAUCAUCUCUAAUACUUAAAAAAAAAAUAGGAUCAUUAUUUUCACGCUAUAGAUAAGGAAACUGAAACUCGGGCUGGUUAAAUAACCUGAACACUCAGCUAUUCUAUUCUUAAGGCUUACUUUUCCACAACUCCACGCAGCAGGGUGAAAUGGAAUUCAUCUGGGGUGUUGCACUGCAUCCCGGAGAGAUAGACUAAGGUCACAUAGCAGAGGGCACCUGAUCAGAACUCCAUUUGAGCAAUAACUCCAGGACCCCCAUAGUUUGCAGAAUGAAGGAGAAGCACAAGAUGCCACAUCUGAGCUGGAGUGAGAAGAAGGGCCACAUGGGUCAAUUAACCGAGAUGAGAUCUGGAAGGCUGACAGGAGAGAAGAGAACCGAGCAUAGAUUCAUUUGCAGAGGGACCAGGAAGGCACAACUUCCUUUGCUUUCCCUUGGUUUCUUCAUUUCCCUGACUAUGAAAAGAAUAGGUUCUCAUCUUUUAAAAAUGUUCAGGCUAUAUAGAAAGAUAUUUUUUAAGCCUAAAAAUGUUCUCCGAUCUGCCACAUGGAAGUCAUAUUUUGUUGUAUAAACUUCCAGACUUUUUAUACAGGAUCCUUUCUGAAAGCCCAUAGACCUACCUCUGUUUGUCCUAAUAGCACAACAGAAGUUCAAACCUGCUUUCUGACACUCUUAGCCUCAAAGUUGUUUUGUAAAAUGAGAAUAAGAUCACCAUUGUCUAUCACUCCUGCCUUAGUUCAAGUUAGGUAUUUUUAUUUUAAUUAUAUUGGAAUAUAGUUGACAUAAAGUUGUGCUAAUUUCUCAGGUAUAUUGCAAAGUAAGUCAGUUAUACAUAUAUCCAAUUCCUUUUCAAGUUCUUUCCCAUAUAGGUUGUUACACAGUAUUGAGUAAAUUUCUUAGGUAUUUUAAUUUAAAACAAAAUUAUUGCCUAUGUCCUUUGGGUUUUAGGGGAUGUUUUCAAAAUUAAGGUGCACAAUUCUUACUGCAGUCUCCCUGCUGAUAUAUACAUAAAAAGUAUAAAAAGUGAAGACAAACAGUGAAUACUUAUUGCAAAAUACCAUUUUAAAUAUUCACCUGAAAACAUACAAUUUCAUGACUUAUUAAAGGCACACCGAUAAAGGCCUAGUGUAAAAUUUUAGUUGUUGGAAAUCCAUCAGGGCUUCUUCAUCUUUAGGUAUAGGGCUUGUAUUUAGUAUAAAUCAAAUCAGUCUUUGGAUAAAUAAAUGGUGAG